CUCAGGAUAGCCCGUCUCAGCCACGCCGCUCGUCAAAAAAAAAAAAGGGCCAUCGCAAGGUCAGCCGGUAGGGCACGCCGCCGUUCGCUCGUCGGCACCCCGGCGUCCCAAUCGUGCCCGCGUGCGCCGCCACCCCUGCUUCCCGCUCGUCGCCGUCCCGGCAUCCCGCUUGUACCCACGUGCGCCGCCGUUUUGCCUCCGCCGGCGCCACCACUGCUCCCUGCUCGUCGCCGCCGGUGGUGCAAGAUGAAGGGUGCUGCGAGGGACGAGCACAAGAAGCCGGCAGAGGAGGAGAACAAUACUCCGGCGUGGGAGGAUGUGGAUCCGGCGAGAAAGCAGGUCCAAGAUUGAUGCGGGAGAGGUGCAGCAGCUGUAUGGUGCCGCUGAGAAGAUCCACCCUGGGGUUGAUGCACAGCCGGAAGGCGAGGACUGCGACGACCACAAAAAGAAGGGGCAGGUCUUCUAUCCUUCAGACCGGCCAACAGAGCAGUUUGUUCUACCAAGCAAGCAAAUGCAGUGAAGAAACCACCACCGCCGGUUUUUCACAGCCGAAGCACAUACUCUCAGACGUGAACGCAGCGGCGACAAGAAUAGGAGAUGACGACGAAGUAUUGAUCUGACAAGUAACACAUGCCAGGUCAGUGCACUUUUAAUAAGAAGUGCAUUCAUGUAUCAGUAUUUCAGUAUUGCAGAUACUUUUCUGGUUCAAGUACCCUGAAUGAGAGGAAUGAAUGUAAGAAGAGAAGCGGAAAUUUUGUUGGCAAGUAAGCAAGCCCCUGAGACCAUCCAUCAUCUUGUUGUCCAUGCAUGAAGUAGUCUUGUUUGUCAGUCGAUCUGCAGUAGUUGGUGCUCUUACCAAUCUAGUUGGUGGUCUGGUU